GCAGUUUCAGUUUUCUUGUACAUCUCAUCGCCUUCUUCUUCCUGCAAACUCGUCCCUCUCAUGAACACAAGCCAAUCUUCAAUCAGUCCCCGAGUCUUUUAGCAUGUUUACAGGCAGUGAGGAAGGCUUCGACAAUUGCAAUUGGGUAAGUGCUUUACAUUUUUUUGGUCUUCGAUUUAUUGCUGCUUCUGCUUCNAUUCGAACCAAGUGAAGAGAGUCACUGGUAGCAAGAUCUUGCGCGAUAUCAAGGCUCAUGGAAUGGCUAAUUUUGGCUACCUCCUAGUUAAUUUAGUUUUUUCAUAUCAAUUAGCUAUGAUUUAAUUUUACUGUGGUUUCCUGAUGAUAAUGAAUUAUGUAUGGAUUUUGUGUGGAUUUAAUUGGGUUUCUGAUGAUAAUGACUAGCGUGUGAACUUCUGGCAUUUUUUCUAUAAGAAGCUAUUACUUGUCAGUUUCUUGCACUUCUCAUCGCCUUCUUCUACCUGCAAACUCGCCCCUCUCACGAACAAAAGCUAAUCUUCAAUCAUUCCCGCAGUCGUUUAGCACGCUCACAGACAGUGAGGAAGGCUUCGACAGUUGCAAUUGGGUAAGUAUUUACAUUUUUUUGGUCUUCGAUUUAUUGCUAGUUCUACUUUUAUUCGAACCAAGUGAAGAGUGUCACUGGUAGCAAGACUUUUUGCGUACUCAAGGCUCAUGGAAUGGUUGAUUUUGGCUACCUACUAGUUAAUUUAGUUUUUUCAUAACAGAUAGCUGUGAUUUAAUUUUCCUGUGGUUUCUUGAUGAUAAUGAGUUGUGUAUGGAUUUUGUGUGGAUUUAAUUGGGUUUCUGAUGAUAACGACUAGUGUGUGAAUUUUUGGCAUUUUUUCCUAUAAGAAGCUGUUGCCAGAGGAGUUAUAUCCUUUUCUCAAGAAAGCUAUUGCCAUUAUGCAGCACUUGGAGAGGAACAGGUAGGACAAAGACUCCAAAUUUAGGUUGAACGUCCUGUGCGUGAAAGGAAAUCUGUAGAAAGACUGGUUGCCAUUAUUGAGAAGGAUGGGUAUAAGGAAUUCCAAAUUGAAAAGGUGUAACAUUUUAAUUUAUUUCCAUCUUGUUAUUUUAACCCUUAAGAGGAGUUAGUUUCUACCGUCAGCACAUUGUAUGAGUUUUAAUGAACUUUUCAUAGAAGAUUUAUUUUUUGACAUAAUAGUAGGGCUGUGGAACUAAACUGAAGGAGAUCCUUACUGGUACUCAUUUUAACUGAACUCCACUUUAUGCAUAAGCGCAUUCACUAAGAGUGUGAAGGUUAUCAUAGCAGGUACCUUUAGAAAGCACAAUGACCACUGGCAUCAUCUAUUUUUCCUCAAAUUCCUGUUUAAUGAUGCUACGGAAUUGCUUGUGUUAUUAUGAAUGAAUCACUUUCUCCCAUAGAAGUGCGUUGAAUGAAUCUCAAUUGGUU
rnacentral:lncRNA from 1 species